CAUGCAUGAUGAACGAGGGCCCGCCUUCGUAGAGAAGACUAGUGGCGAACGGGUGACUAACACGUGAGCAACCUGCCCCGAAGACUGGGAUAACAGCGGGAAACCGCUGCUAAUACCGGUAUAUCCCCACCGGAUCGCAUGAUCUGGUGAGGAAAUGGAUUCCGCUUCGGGAGGGGCUCGCGGCCUAUCAGUUUGUUGGUGGGGUAACGGCCCACCAAGGCAACGACGGGUAGCUGGUCUGAGAGGACGAUCAGCCACACUGGGACUGAGACACGGCCCAGACUCCUACGGGAGGCAGCAGUGGGGAAUCUUGCGCAAUGGGCGAAAGCCUGACGCAGCAACGCCGCGUGAGGGAUGACGGCCUUCGGGUUGUAAACCUCUUUCGAGCAGGGACGAUUGUGACGGUACCUGCAGAAGAAGCUCCGGCCAACUACGUGCCAGCAGCCGCGGUAAU
rnacentral:rRNA from 1 species